AGAUGGUAUUGAGUGGAUGCUGUUAUAUAUACAGCCAUGCACUGUGUAGUUUGGGUGCACAGUGCAUGGCUGUAUAUAUAACACUAUCCGUUCAUCUUUCAGC
ensembl:miRNA